rnacentral:lncRNA from 1 species
GAUUAUUUCGCUUGUAAAUAAUAUAAAUAUGACAAUAACUUUAUUGUGUAAAAGAAAUUUUCUAAACAGACCGGGCAUACGCAACCUUGUGUAAAAUCAAUGGUCACAUAUUAACUUGCCCCCCGGGCACAGCUCAACUAGUGGAUCAAUCAACAUUGGCUUGCUUCCAGCGGCAGGGUGGAGAGUUCGAUUCCUGGUGGGAACCUGUGGCCAAAUAUUUGGUAUGGAGCAAUCACUGUGGAGAAGGGUCUCUUGUGCGCAGAAGUGUACAGUUAAUGAGGGGAAUCUGUGAUCCAGUUGAGGCAUAAUCCGCAAUUUACCCCUUCCAAGGUUCUAGGGG